UUUACUGAGUAGGUCUUAAAAUAUCUCUAGAACUAUGAUGUUCAUAAAACUUGGUAAUUUCUGGGUAAACCUGGGUAAUUUAUGAUGAAUUUUAGGAAAUACCCAUUUGGGAUAUAGAAGAUGAAAAUUUUAUAGGGUUCGAAACCAGGUUGCUUAGGGGUUACGCUUCUUGGGUGGUUUUACUCUAAACCGCCCCCAAGGACAGUAGUGGCCUGAUUUUCUGACACAUGGAUCCCUAAACAUCAGGGGUCUGUUAGGAAACCGAGGCGCAUAGCAUAGGGUAGCACGUGGCAUCACGCAACAGGUUGAGACUAACUUAGCUCGUAUAUCAAAGACAACAUUCUCCUCCGUACUUUCAUGCCAUAACCUUGACAAACUCUUAGGUCGCCUACUAAGUAACUCGUCAUUCUUGUUCGUUAGGCCAUCUGAUGGCUCCCAAGAAGAAUGCACCAAAGAAGAAUACACCUAGCUCGUUUGCUCAACAAUCAAACAAAGGGAAAGAAAUCGCCUCAGAAUCUCCUAUUCCUCACUUUGGCCCAGUGGUGGAGAGGGAAGUUGUGGUGGACCCUAACGCUUUCUUCGAGGCAGAGACAAUCACUUCCAAGAUUACGACCCAAGGAAGGGUCAACAAAAUUAUGUUGAGCCAUAACAUCGAUGUCGGGACUGGAGUCCUUAUUUCUCGACCUUCGUUCGAAGGGGAACGAAGCUGUUCCCCUCUCUUGGACGACUUCGCGACCUGGAGUGAUGAACAUUUGAAGGCGGGGGCCUUCCUUCCCCUGAAUCAAUAUUUUGCCGACUUCCUAAAUUAUGUGAAGUUGGAACCUUUUCAGCUCCCCCCAAAUUCUUACAGGCUUUUGGCGGGGCUAAAAUACUUAUUUUUGAAGCACGAGUGGGAGGUGCCCACUCCAACAGAUAUACUGUAUUUUUUCUGCCUCAAAGCCAGCCCGGAACAAAGGGGUCGAGGUGACGGGUUCUACUACCUCACCAGGUUUCCAAACUCUGCUUCGAUCAUCAAGCUCCUAAGCCACCCCAAUGACUACAAAUACCAGUUUUUUAUGUCGAACGGGUUUCGAAACUGCGAGCACCGAUACUUCAACCGUCCUCCCAAAUUUGCGAGGAUGGGGAAGUCAGUGAUCCCUCGGGGGUCAAUAUGAAACUUUGUCUGGGCUCCCACCCAACUAGAAGGAUUACCGCUAGCUCGUGAACGAUGUCACGAUGCUGGCAUGUAAUUUGAUUAGCCAAGGCCAGACGUUGGCCUUAAGAAGGACCCGGGCUACUCGUUAGGUAAUCCACAAGCUCCUGCCCUCUCACAAAGAGGACUCACCGGCCACCGAAGGUGAGAAGCAGGAAGAGGACGAGGUGCCUGUUGUGCGGAAGAGGCGGGUUCCCCAAGCUGAUCUGGAACCCAAUUUAGAACGAGCUGCGUCGGGGGCAGGAGCCGGCCCCUCUGGCCAAGGUAACCCAUACCCUUAUAGGGCAUUAGAUAGGGUUGUUGCUUAUUUUAGGAUAGUUAGAUUUAAUCCCAAUUAGCUCGUCCACCGUCACCCUAACAAUCCAGACCGUAAUGUCACCUACUCCUCUUAGUGUUGCGUCAUGACAACAGUUACCCCAAGGGCACCGUUGUUGUAGAUAACACCUUAAAUUUUAGGUCCGCCAUCUUUGAGGAGUAUGUGACCAAUCGUAGGAGCUGGCCUUCUCUGCUCCAGGGCGCCUUUGCCCCUGAAUUUAGGCAAUAUGCAGAUGAGUCUAGCCUCGAGGUAGAACCUGAGCAAGAACCUCCUAGGGUCCAAGAAAUAUUAGACUUAGAUUCUCCUUCUCCUCUAGUAAUCCCGAGGACGGAGGUCGUGAUAAUAGACUCCUCCCCCAGCCCGGAGGGUAGGAUCUUUAUUUAUUUUCUUUGUGUAUGUUUUUGACUUUACUUGUGAACUAAUCCCUUUUUUGUUCUUUUUAGGCGACGAGAUGGAACAACUCAGAGCUCCUGACCUCCAUACGGCUUUCCAGGGCAGGAAAUCCGGCUCAGGCCCUGUCGUGAAGAGGCCCAGAUUUACAAAGAAGGCUCUUUUGGCAGGGGGAAAUGUCUCAAAAUCCUCUACUAAGGGGAAAGGCACGAGCUUGACAGCUUCGGUGUCUUCCAUUACCCAAAAGAGGAUUCCUCCUCCACCUCCACCUCGGUUCACGCCUUCUCGGGAUCAGGUAAUACAAGCUAAUCCCCCAGCUCCUCCUGCCCCAGCUGCUACUGUUCGCAUACCAGUUGAUCCCUAGGAUCUGGAGAAGAUCCCCGAAGCCUUUCGGGGAAUCCUCUACGAGACGGCAAGCCACAUGAUGGGGCACGCUUACAGAGCCAGCUCGAGGGACUUGAGGACGAUCAAGGAGCGAAGCCCAGAGAACGUCCUGGAGUCAGCCUUGGGGAUGACCCUCACAUCUGCCCAGGCUCAACACCGCAGCAUAGCCUGGGCUAGGGCUAGAAAUGAUGAGCUCUAGGGCGAGAUCAAUGCUGCCAAGACCGCCCUGACUGCUGCUCAAGAAGGCGAGCAGGCCGCCAAAGCUGCCUUUGCGGCUGCUCAAAAGAGCGAGUACAAUGCCAAGUUUGCCCUCGCCUCAUCUUAGGAAAGCGAGCAGGCUGCAAAGAUGGCCUUGGCUGCUCUCCAGACCCAAACUGCCCAGCUCCAGGCCGAGGUUGACAAAACCAAGGCAAAUGUGCUCGAGGCCGAGGCUGGGGUUAGAGAAGAAAAAGUGGCCUCACUGUCCUCCAUGGAAGAUAUGUUGUACUAUUGCUAGGCCUUUAACCAGGAUGACAACUUUUGUUUCAUGGCUCCUGCGCUGUGGGAACCGUUCCUGGAAAAAUUCAAGGCUCGGAUCUUGCUAGAACUGUUAGAAAUGGGGGAUGCUUCUACAGCGAGCGAGCAGGAAGGCAAGGAGGUCACAUCCUCAGAGCAUCCUAGAGGGGCUUAAUGAACAUCUUUUAAGUUUUUUUUUAUAUCUGUUUGUAAACAAUUGCCCUUGGGCUUAGUUUAAGGUUUUUCUCCUCGGGACAAAUUUAAUGUUAAUUUAUAUAUCUAACUUUUAAUCUA